AGGGCCAUAACUCAGUGGUGGAGUAUUGGCUUUGCAAGCAGAAGGAGCCAGGUUCAGGCCCUGAUGUCUCUA